rnacentral:rRNA from 1 species
GGACUACAAGGGUAUCUAAUCCUGUUUGCUCCCCACGCUUUCGUGCCUCAGUGUCAAGAAUCAGCCAGAAUGGCGCCUUCGCCGCCGGCCUUCCCCCGAAUAUCUGCGCAUUUCACCGCUACACUCGGAGUUCCCCAUUCCCCUCUGAUCUUCAAGCCUUGCAGUAUAAAAAGCAAUUCCCCGGGUAAGCCGAGGGAUUUCACUCCUUACUUACAAAGCCACCUACGCACCCUUUAAGCCCAGUGACACCGAACAACGUUCGCCCCUCACGUAUUACCGCGGCUGCUGGCAC